ACGGUGGAGACCUAGGCACCCAGAGACGAAGAAGGGCGCAGAUACCGGCGAAACGCUCCGGGGAGUUGGCAACAAACUUUGAUCCGGAGAUCCCCGAAUAGGGCAACCUGUACAACUUCCAACAGAAUUCAUAAGUUGGAAAGAGGCAACCCAGUGAAUUGAAACAUCUUAGUAGCUGGAGGAAAAGAAAGCAAACGCGAUUCCCGUAGUAGCGGCGAGCGAACCGGGAACAGCCUAAACCCAUUUCCAUUAGGGAAUGGGGGUAGUGGGAAGACAUUCUCUUUAAAAAUUUUCUAAAAACGAAACAGCUGAAUCCUGUACCAUAGAUGGUGAAAGUCCAGUAGUUGAAAUGAAAAAAAACAAAAUGUCUUAUCCCGAGUAGCAUGGGACACGUGGAAUCCCGUGUGAAUCAGCGAGGACCACCUCGUAAGGCUAAAUACUCCUGGGUGACCGAUAGUGAAAUAGUACUGCGAAGGAAAGGUGAAAAGAACCCUCGUAUAGGGAGUGAAAUAGAACAUGAAACCGUAAGCUGACAAGCAGUGGGAGGUUAAGAGCUGACCGCGUGCCUGUUGAAGAAUGAGCCGGCGACUUAGAGGGAGUGGCAAAAAGGUUAAGGAGAAACAUCCGGAGCCAACGCGAAAGCGAGUCCGAAAAUUCGGCGAAGAAUUUGUCAUUUCCUCUGGACCCGAACCCGGGUGAUCUAAUCAUGACCAACAUGAAGCUUGGGUAACACUAAGUGGAGGUGUGCACCGACCGAUGUUGAAAAAUCGGCGGAUGAGUUGUGAUUAUGCGCAGAAAUUGCAAUCGAACUCGGAGCUAGCUGGAUCUCCCCGAAAUGCGUUGAGGCGCAGCGGCAACGACGAGCUAUCAUAAGGUAAAGCUACUGUUUCGAUGCGGGCUGCGAGAGCGGUACCAAAUCGUGGCAAACUCAGAAUGUAUGAUAUUGCCUACCGUUAGCCAGUGAGACCCAAGGUGAUAAGAUCUUCGGUCAAGAGGGAAACAGCCCAGAUCACCAGCUAAGGCCCCUAAAUGGUUUCUAAGUGGAAAAGGAUGUGAGAGUGCAGAAACAACCAGGAGGUUUGCUUAGAAGCAGCAAUUUCCUUGAAAGAGUGCGUAAUAGCUCACUGGUAAAGCGUUCUUGCGCCGAUAAUGGCCGGGACUAAGAAACCUGCCGAAGCUGUGAGAUUCUUAKAUAAGAAUCGGUAGGGGAGCGUUCCGUUAUUGGGUGAAGUUAUGGUGUAAACCAGAAUGGACAAAACGGAAGUGAGAAUGUCGGCUUGAGUAACGAAAACAUUGGUGAGAAUCCAAUGCCCCGAAAACCGUUGGGUUCCUCCACUAGGUUCGUCCAUGGGGGGUUAGUCAGGUCCUAAGGCUAGGCCGAAAGGCGUCGUCGAUGGCAAACAGGUUAAUAUUCCUGUACUGAUUCUAUUGGGAACAAGGGACGAAGAAGGCUAAACUGAGACUACUAAUGGAUUAUAGUGGAAGCGUCAAGGUGUUGAGAGUUAGAAGAAAAACUAAACUUGAGCUGAGGCGUUAUCCCGAUAACAAUCCUUCGGGGUUGUUGUCGUCAGUGAUGUCAUGCUUCCAAGAAAAGCUUGAGCUCCAUAACAAUAGAAUUACCUGUACCUAAAACCGACACAGGUAGGUGAGUAGAGAAUACUAAGGGGCGCGAGAGAACUCUCUCUAAGGAACUCGGCAAACUGGCCCCGUAACUUCGGAAGAAGGGGCGCCUUUAAUUUCAUUAAAGGUCGCAGUAAACAGGCCCAGGCAACUGUUUAUCAAAAACAUAGGUCUCCGCAAAGUCGAAAGACUAUAUAUGGGGGCUGACGCCUGCCCAGUGCCGGAAGGUUAAGGAAGUUGGUUAGAGAGCUUGUCUCUCGAAGCUGACGACCGAAGCCCCGGUGAACGGCGGCCGUAACUAUAACGGUCCUAAGGUUAACGCUAGCUUUAGUAAAAUCAAGCUAUAUGCUGGCGGUCCUAAGGUAGCGAAAUUCAUUGUCGAGUAAGUUUCGACCUGCACGAAAGGUGUAAUGAUCUGGGCGCUGUCUCGGAGAGAGACUCGGUGAAAUAGACAUGUCCGUGAAGAUGCGGACUACCAAUACUAGGACAGAAAGACCCUAUGAAGCUUGACUGUAUCCUGGAAUUGAACUCGGGCUUUUCUUGCGCAGCCUAGGUGGGAGGCGUUGAAGGUCCCCUUCCGGGGGGGCUGGAGCCAUCAUUGAGAGACCACUCUGGAAGAGCUAGAGUUCUAAUGGUGAUCUUUGAAACAAGACACUUGACAGUUUCAGGUGGGCAGUUUUCCUGGGGCGGGAACCUCCCAAAGCGUAACGGAGGUGUGCAAAGGUUCUCUCAGUCUGGACGGAAAUCAGACAUUGAGUGUAAAGGCAAAAGAGAGCUUGACUGUAAGACCAACAAGUCGAGCAGGGGCGAAAGCCGGCCUUAGUGAUCCGACGGUGCCGUGUGGAAGGGCCGUCGCUCAACGGACAAAAGUUACUCUAGGGAUAACAGGCUGAUCUUCCCCAAGAGUUCAUAUCGACGGGAAGGUUUGGCACCUCGAUGUCGGCUCAUCACAUCCUGGAGCGGUAGUACGUUCCAAGGGUUGGGCUGUUCGCCCAUUAAAGUGGUACGUGAGCUGGGUUCAGAACGUCGUGAGACAGUUUGGUCCAUAUCCGGUAUUGGCGUAAGAGCAUUGAGAGGAGUCUUUCAUAGUACGAGAGGACCUGAAAGAAUGUGCCAAUUGUGUACCAGUUCUCAUUCCAAUGGGAAACGCUGGGUAGCUAUGCACAGAGACGAUAAAAGCUGACAGCAUCUAAGUUUGAAGCUCACCUCAAGAUGAGUGCUCUCUAAUUAGGUCGCGGGAAGAUCACCCGUUUUAUAGGCGUUAGGUCUACAGUCAGUAAUGGCUUGAGCUGAGACGUACUAAAGACCAAUUGAUUUUGAU
rnacentral:rRNA from 1 species